GCUGGGCGCGGUGGCUCAUGCCUGUAAUCCCGGCACUUUGGGAGGCCGAGGUGGGUGGAUCACCUGAGGUCAGGAGUUUGAGACCAGCCUGGCCAACAUGGUGAUACCCCAUCUCUA
rfam:Pan troglodytes isolate Yerkes chimp pedigree #C0471 (Clint) chromosome 14, whole genome shotgun sequence.